CCUACGGGAUGCAGCAGUGAGGAAUAUUGGUCAAUGGGCUUACGCCUGAACCAGCCAAGUCGCGUGAGGGAAGACUGCCCUAUGGGUUGUAAACCUCUUUUGUCAGGGAGCAACGCCUGCUACGUGUAGCCGGACUGAGAGUACCUGAAGAAAAAGCAUCGGCUAACUCCGUGCCAGCAGCCGCGGUAAUACGGAGGAUGCGAGCGUUAUCCGGAUUUAUUGGGUUUAAAGGGUGCGUAGGCGGAAUGCCAAGUCAGCGGUAAAAUCGCGGGGCUCAACCUCGCUCCGCCGUUGAAACUGGCGUUCUGGAGUGGGCGAGAAGUAUGCGGAAUGCGUGGUGUAGCGGUGAAAUGCAUAGAGAUCACGCAGAACUCCGAUUGCGAAGGCAGCAUACCGGCGCCCAACUGACGCUGAAGCACGAAAGCGUGGGUAUCGAACAGGAUUAGAUACCCCUGUAGUC
rnacentral:rRNA from 1 species